rnacentral:rRNA from 1 species
UACGUAGGGUGCAAGCGUUAAUCGGAAUUACUGGGCGUAAAGCGUGCGCAGGCGGCUUUGCAAGACAGAUGUGAAAUCCCCGGGCUCAACCCUGGGAACUGCAUUUGUGACUGCAUGGCUAGAGUACGGUAGAGGGGGAUGGAAUUCCGCGUGUAGCAGUGAAAUGCGUAGAUAUGCGGAGGAACACCGAUGGCGAAGGCAAUCCCCUGGACCAGCACUGACACUCAGGCACGAAAGCGUGGGGAGCAAACAGG